rnacentral:rRNA from 1 species
CCUAACACAUGCAAGUCGAGCGCAGGAAGCAAGCUGAUCUCCUUCGGGGGUGACGCUUGUGGAAUGAGCGGCGGACGGGUGAGUAACACGUGGGCAACCUGCCUGUAAGACUGGGAUAACCCCGGGAAACCGGGGCUAAUACCGGAUAAUACUUUCUUUUGCAUAAAGGAAAGUUGAAAGGCGGCUUCGGCUGUCACUUACAGAUGGGCCCGCGGCGCAUUAGCUAGUUGGUGAGGUAACGGCUCACCAAGGCGACGAUGCGUAGCCGACCUGAGAGGGUGAUCGGCCACACUGGGACUGAGACACGGCCCAGACUCCUACGGGAGGCAGCAGUAGGGAAUCUUCCGCAAUGGACGAAAGUCUGACGGAGCAACGCCGCGUGAGUGAUGAAGGUUUUCGGAUCGUAAAACUCUGUUGUUAGGGAAGAACAAGUUGGGUAGUAACUGACCCAACCUU